GCCAUGCUUGUGGGGGGCACCCCUUGCGGCCCCGGGCCCGUGUCUGGAGGAGGCGGAGGUGGGCGCGAUGGCCUCCCGCAGGCAGGCGAGGUCCUGGGGGGCCGAGCGGGGUGUUGGCGGGACCCGGCCCAGGACCCCCGUGUGGUGGCGGGAGUGAGCCCCGCCUUAGGCCCGCCCUCGGCGUAGCCUCCGGGGAAAAGGACGGCAGCGGCCCUUCCUGGCCAUCACCCCGCCCGGUGUGGACCGAAAGUGAGAACGUUUGAAUCAGGCCGUUUUGUCAGAAGCAUCAGCUUUCCGGUAAAGCUGUGAAGGUUGGAACAUGGACUGUGUCGUGCCCCGGCCUCGGGCGCUGCUGGAGGGUCCCUCUGCGCAUUGUUUCAAUGGGAGGCGAGGCGCCUCAUUUCCUCCUGUCAUGUCCUCCGUCGAAGCUUUAAUGUUCGCUGCUCGCGUGGCAUGACUCCCUCAGAGCCGGCGGAGACAGCUGAGGCCACUUCAGUGCAGAGCAAGUGAGGGCACCUGAGGACCCGCCAGCUCUUCCCCCGGCAGAGAACCUGCAAUUAGACGGCACGUGGGGUCGCUCUUGGCAGAUGACUUGAGGAGACGUGGCGCUCACACCUCCACGCUGCAGGCGAGGACAUGAGGACCCCACGAGGCUUACACAGGCAGAGAGCUGGCGCUGGAGUGUGGACACACGCCUGCCCCUUGAAGGCCCGCCUCCUCGCCGUCCUGCCGGACAUAUCCAUCCGUUUCAUCUGGACGCGCCGCGGAGGCAUUUUGGAGGGAAGAACAGUGAGUGCCAUUGGCCGGCCCAGUGGGGCCUGCGCGGAGGCAGGAGGAGCGGGGAGGAGGUACUGAAGGAAAGGGUCUCAGAGAACUCAGACUGUUGUAUUUUAUGUGGCGUCUACUUUGGGGUCCAAAGUGUCACCAUAGCUUCUCAACUGAUGGAGAACCUACAGCCCCAGGGUGGGCAGGAUCAUUCCGAAAACUGAGUCCGCCCUCAGCCAACCUGAGGUUGGAUUUCCGAGGGGAGGCGUCAACUCCCUGUGAAAGCCCCUCCUUCCUGGCGUCCUGGGAGCUGAUGACGCCGAAUUUCAGACCUUCAGCUGAUCCGAUCGCUGCACCAUCCCACCUCCACCCAAAACAUCUUCCGAGGGCGUUUCCGUGGGACGGCCUCGUUCUCAGGCCCGGAGUUUGCCCCGGGAGACCCCGGGUGAUAGUGAGACUAUGGCUGGGGCUGGGUCAGGUGCUGCUCACAGCUGUGCAUCACUGAUUUCUCCUUUCAGGUGGACCUGACUUACAUUUUUAAAAGUAUGUUUUUACUGGUUUUUAGAGAGAGAGGAAGAAGGGAGAGAGAGAUAGAAACAUCCAUGAGAGAGAAAAACAUUGAUCGGCUGCCUCCUGCACGCCCCCUACUGGGGAUCAAGCCCCAAAUCCGGACAUCUGCCCUGACCGGGAAUUGAACCUGGGACCUCUUGGUGCAUGCGGCGAUGCCCAACCACUGCGCCACACAGGCCGGGCCUGACU